UGGAUUAGUGGCGAACGGGUGAGUAACACGUGGGCAAUCUGCCCUUCACUCUGGGACAAGCCCUGGAAACGGGGUCUAAUACCGGAUAAUACUCUGUUCCGCAUGGAACGGGGUUGAAAGCUCCGGCGGUGAAGGAUGAGCCCGCGGCCUAUCAGCUUGUUGGUGGGGUAAUGGCCUACCAAGGCGACGACGGGUAGCCGGCCUGAGAGGGCGACCGGCCACACUGGGACUGAGACACGGCCCAGACUCCUACGGGAGGCAGCAGUGGGGAAUAUUGCACAAUGGGCGAAAGCCUGAUGCAGCGACGCCGCGUGAGGGAUGACGGCCUUCGGGUUGUAAACCUCUUUCAGCAGGGAAGAAGCGCAAGUGACGGUACCUGCAGAAGAAGCGCCGGCUAACUACGUGCCAGCAGCCGCGGUAAUACGUAGGGCGCAAGCGUUGUCCGGAAUUAUUGGGCGUAAAGAGCUCGUAGGCGGCUUGUCACGUCGGAUGUGAAAGCCCGGGGCUUAACCCCGGGUCUGCAUUCGAUACGGGCUAGCUAGAGUGUGGUAGGGGAGAUCGGAAUUCCUGGUGUAGCGGUGAAAUGCGCAGAUAUCAGGAGGAACACCGGUGGCGAAGGCGGAUCUCUGGGCCAUUACUGACGCUGAGGAGCGAAAGCGUGGGGAGCGAACAGGAUUAGAUACCCUGGUAGUCCACGCCGUAAACGUUGGGAACUAGGUGUUGGCGACAUUCCACGUCGUCGGUGCCGCAGCUAACGCAUUAAGUUCCCCGCCUGGGGAGUACGGCCGCAAGGCUAAAACUCAAGGAAUUUGACGGGGGCCCGCACAAGCAGCGGAGCAUGUGGCUUAUUCGACGCAACGCGAGAACCUUACCAAGGCUUGACAUAUACCGGAAAGCAUCAGAGAUGUGCCCCCCUUGUGUCGGUAUACAGUGUUGCAUGGCUGUCGUCAGCUCGUGUCGUUGAGAUGUGUGGG
rnacentral:rRNA from 1 species